UUGCUGUUGAAAGAGUUCUAAUCAACACACGACCCGCAUGUACCAGCAAAUCACAGAAGACUUCAUUGUGAUUACAGAACAGAAUGGAAACAUCACCCACCUUGACAAUGGCCAGAUAAAGGGGGAGAUGAGAGACUGAAAAGGGAUCUCCAAGCUUCAGGAUUAUGCUUACAUCAUCACAGCUUCCAAGAAUACUUCUGAGGAAAUACUGCAGGCGCACCUGGUUCAUCCUGUACGCACAUCCCACCUUGCUUAGGACCUCCAGCCCCUUGCAGUCUUCAUCCUCCCAGGGCAGCUGUGGUUACCAUGCUUGUUUUCCUGCUCUACCCUCAGGUAGUGAUGAAGGAAUGAGGAGGACAGGUCCCCUGGCCAGUUGGCCACAAAUUAAAAAUCUUUAUACUGUAGGGGGAAAGGGGAUUAUAAAGCAUCAUAUAUGAUCUCAUUUGUUAAAAAAAAGAAAAACAAUUUUAAAUAAAAAGCAAAUAUGUG